rnacentral:lncRNA from 10 species
CCACGGUGUUAGGGGAGGCUCAGGCAUGGCGGGCUGCAGGUCUGGAGCCCUGCACCGCCGGGAGGCAGCUAAGGCCCGGCAAGAAGUCGAGCACAGCAGCUGCGGGCCCAGGUGCUAAGCCCCUCACUGCCGCGGGCGGGCGGGGCCGGCCGGCCGCUCCAAGUGCGGGGCCCGCGGAGCCCACGCCCACCCGGAACUCGCGCUGGCCGGCAAGCACCGCGCGCAGCCCCGGUUCCCGCCCGUGCCUCUCCCUCCACACCACCCCGCAAGCUGAGGGAGCCGGCUCCGGCCUUGGCCAGCCCAGAAAGGGGCUCCCACAGUGCAGCGGCGGGCUGAAGGGCUCCUCAAGCGCGGCCAGAGUGGGCGCCAAGGCCGAGGAGGCGCCCAGAGCGAGCGAGGGCUGUGAGGGCUGCCAGCAUGCUGUCACCUCUCAGAAAAACGGUUAUAUACUGAAACUGUAGGAACAGCAAAGAGAUUAAAGAUCAAGUAAAGAGCAACAAAGGCAGAGGGGUUCUCUCCCCUUGGCUACCAUAGCUGGGAAUAUUCUGGGUCACACAUGAAGCCAGCAUGGCUCUGAAUCUUACCCAAGGGACACAGUGAGUACUGCCUGGCUACCAUGGCUGAUUAUUCAAGGCAGGUGAUGAUUCUGUCAGGACUGGAUCUUUCCCUAAAAAGCAAUGGGUUCCUUUCUGGCCCAGGGUACAUUUGGAGAUGUUGAACAGGAACUAGG